rnacentral:lncRNA from 1 species
CUCAUAAUUCUUAGCCUGGCAUUCAAGGUUUUCCACAGACAGGACACAAUCUACCUUUCUCAUUUGGUAGAAACAAGGAGAUGGGGAAGAAGGUGGUAGACCUUUGAUCCUGUCAAUGUAUGAAACUUCAGAUAAGAAAAUUUAGUUUAAGAAAGGAUGUUGCCCAUGGUCACAGAGCUUCCUGAACUCAAAAAUGAGAAUUAAACCCAAGCCUUCCUCCAAGUCCAACACACUAUCCAUUAUACUAUGCCAAGCUAUUGAUGCAGAAAGAGGUGGUAGCAUCAAGGAGAAAUUGAGGGAAAGGAACAAGCCUACUAUGUUCUGGGUACUUCACAAAAUAUUUUGA